AGGAUGAACGCUGGCGGCGUGCUUAACACAUGCAAGUCGAACGGUCACUUCGGUGACAGUGGCGCACGGGUGAGUAACACGUAGCUAACCUGCCUUCGAGUUCGGAAUAACGUCCCGAAAGGGAUGCUAAUACCGGAUAAGCUCCCGACAAGUAGGUAGUCGGGAGAAAGGGAACCCGCUUGAAGAGGGGCUGCGACCCAUCAGGUAGUUGGUGUGGUAAAAGCGCACCAAGCCGACGACGGGUAGGGGGCCUGAGAGGGUCGGUCCCCCA
rnacentral:rRNA from 1 species